UGUGUGUGUGUGUGUGUGUGUGUGUGUGUGUGUGUGUAGAAGCCUAGAAUUGUAGGGUGUGCAUAUCAAUAGCAGUUAUACAAAAAUAAAAAGUCAUAUAUUAUAUGCAAGGCUAUUCACAUUACACACACACACACACACACACACACACACACA
rnacentral:miRNA from 1 species